UACGUAGGGGGCAAGCGUUGUCCGGAAUUAUUGGGCGUAAAGAGCUCGUAGGCGGUCUGUCGCGUCGGCUGUGAAAUCCCGGAGCUCAACUCCGGGCCUGCAGUCGAUACGGGCAGACUGGAGUUCGGCAGGGGAGACUGGAAUUCCUGGUGUAGCGGUGAAAUGCGCAGAUAUCAGGAGGAACACCGGUGGCGAAGGCGGGUCUCUGGGCCGAUACUGACGCUGAGGAGCGAAAGCGUGGGGAGCGAACAGG
rnacentral:rRNA from 1 species